GAUGAACGCUGGCGGCGUGCCUAAUACAUGCAAGUCGAGCGAACGGACGAGAAGCUUGCUUCUCUGAUGUUAGCGGCGGACGGGUGAGUAACACGUGGAUAACCUACCUAUAAGACUGGGGUAACUUCGGGAAACCGUAGCUAAUACCGGAUAAUAUUUUGAACCGCAUGGUUCAAAAGUGAAAGACGGUCUUGCUGUCACUUAUAGAUGGAUCCGCGCUGCAUUAGCUAGUUGGUAAGGUAACGGCUUACCAAGGCAACGAUGCAUAGCCGACCUGAGAGGGUGAUCGGCCACACUGGAACUGAGACACGGUCCAGACUCCUACGGGAGGCAGCGGUAGGGAAUCUUCCGCAAUGGGCGAAAGCCUGACGGAGCAACGCCGCGUGAGUGAUGAAGGUCUUCGGAUCGUAAAACUCUGUUAUUAGGGAGGAACAUAUGUGUAAGUAACUGUGCACAUCUUGACGGUACCUAAUCAGAAAGCCACGGCUAACUACGUG
rnacentral:rRNA from 1 species